AAGGGAAAGCAUCUCAGAGUACAAUUCGAGUUUAGCAAUCAGGCGUCCACCUGGAGAAAAGGGAAAUCAUCUCAGAUUACAAUUCAAGUCAGCAACAAAGGGACUUCAUUGGGAGAAUACAAGUCAACAAGGCAACAAGGAUCACAAGAUCAAGUUUGAAGAUAUAUAUAGGGCUUUUGUAAUUCAUAGAUCAUAGUUUAGUCUAGCUUCCUUUUAUUUUGUCAUGGUGUAAUAAGGGUUUCAGUAAGCAAUAGCAGCAGUAGUAGCAACAUUGAAGUCACAGCUUCAUGGUAGUCCCAGCUACCAAAACUUCCCGAACUACACUGACCUGAUUCCUUUAUAGCCAAGGAUAUGUAGGCAACCUCAGAAGUAGGGUGCGGUCAAAUCUUCCAAAAAAUGCUUCACACGGAGUAUUCAAAUGGGCAAAAAUCGUUCGUAUUCGCUCACAUUAUCUUUGCACGAAAACUCUUCGUGUUUUCGAGCAAAGAGUGGCAGCUGUGAGCACGUGAUUUUUGCCCUAUAUGAAUUACUCCAAUAAAUUCAAAACAAAAUAAUUUUUUUUCAUUGGUUAGCAAUUUUGUAGAUUUUUGUAGCACUUUCUUGUUAAAUGUUUGCAUUUGCUUGUGCGUGUUUAUUUUAUUUAAAUUAAUAAAAAAUACAAAAAUAUAGGUUUCAUUUGCAUUUAGGAUUUGACUUUGCAAUUUUAAGAUUAAUUAGCAAAUUAGUUGUUUAUAAAAAUGGAAAAAUUACAAAAAAUAGUUUAAUUUGCACUUUUUAAUUUUAAUUUUGAAUUUUGAGUAGUUUUCUUUUAAUUUGUUUUCUUUAUUAAUUGUGGUAAUUAUUCUUUAGGUUUAAUUAGUGUUUUAGAUAUUUAAUUAGGUUUUAGGAUUUAAUUUAGAUUUAAAUUUAAUUUUGAAAAAAAGAGGAAGAAAAAGAAUUUUUGGAAAAAUUGAUUUGAAAUAGGAAAUAAAAGAAGAAGAGAGUUAGUUUGGGCUACUUCUAUUUUCCCCCUUGGCCCAAGUGAAAUCCAGCCCUAUGUCAAUCCCCAAAUUCGCCCCAUACCCGUCCCAGACCUCUCAGAUGUCAAGGCCGCCAAAAUGUCGUCGUUUCGAGUUUGGCGGGUUUAAAUUAAUCUGAGCCCUUAAUUUUGGCUCAUCCAAUGGUGGGGGUUGCUUCUUUGUGUUAACUAAAUAUGUCCUAAGAAUUGAGAUCAGUUCAGUUCCAAACAGACCCCCUAGUCCAUCUCCUUCACCUCUCUAAUGAAAACCCUAGCGCCGCCUUCAACCUCUUCGCCAGUUCCAGUCGGCGGCGGAGCCCGAACACUACCCAGAAUCCGUCCAUGCAACCAUCACCCUUCCAUAAACCCCAAUCCACCACCAUUUUCCCAAUUCCUCACCAAAUAAGUCCAGUUCGGAGCUAAAAAACGAAGAAGAGGAGAAUCUGUCAAACCUUCGAGCCCCCUUGAAUGAUAGGGUUUGAAACGGGUAUUGCCCGUUUGUUUUAUUUGAGAACAUAUGGAUAAUACUUGUUUCAAAUCAAAUCGAAGUUCAUCAAGCUUUGCUCGUGCGAACUUAGAGGUAUUUUUCUUCGUCCUUUCACUGUCGUCUUCCUCUUCCGUUCGUUAUUAAAUUCAUUUUCUUUUGUUUCUCCUCCAUCCUCAUUCUUUCUUUUACUUUUCUUUUUCCUUCUGUUUCUGUUGCUCAUUAGUUUAAAUUCAUAUAGCAAUAGCCAACAGUUAACUCUGGAUAUUUUUGUUAGAGGGAUAGAUUUAAGUCAGUUCGUUAGUAUUAAAAUUGAUUGAGUUCUUUGGGGCCAUCGUUUGAAUGCCAACUUGUUUGGGUCAGAGUUUUGGGUCUCAGAAUAUGCAUGGGCCGGGCGAAAUUCUUGGGCCCUCAAUUUAUUGUGACCCGUCCCAACAACAGCCCCAGAAUUUCGGUUGCUUGGGUUAGCCUGACCCAUAGUUGGUUUAGGUUGGAAGGGUAAAUAACAGUAGCUAUAAAGGGUAAUUGGGGAAAUUGGUAUGGGGAAUCUCUUGGUAAUAGAACUGGGACGCUUCUAGGAAGCAUGGGGUGGGGGCAUUUCUUAAUUUCUGUUUUCUAAUUAAGGUGCAUUAAGCAAAAAUGAAAAUUGGCUAGGGAUUUUUAAGCUAAAAUGAAAAUUGGAGGAGGAUAGGAGUGCAAAUCUAAUUUCCCUAGUGCUGCCCUACUCCCUUGCCUAUAAAGGCACAUUUUCUUUCCAUUCAAGGGGGAUUCAAAGAGAAAAAUUUAGAAAAAUCAUAAACGGCUGAGAUUUUGUUUUUGAUAAAAACACUAUUCCAUUGAUCUUGUUUGGAAUUUUGAAGUUUUGAAUUUCUGAAACAAUUUUCUGAUUCAUGUGGGGUUUAAAAUGGGCUGAAUUUGGUUUUAAUAGUUUGGUUUGAAGAUUUGCUUGGUUACUGUUCGAUUGAAGUGUUUUGGGACUAUUUCACAUCAUUUUCUGUUUGAAAUGGGCUGUUGGUGUUGAACCCUGCUGUGAUGCUGAUGCUUUUUCAUCUGCUGAGCCUUAUUCUCUUAUUGUUUCCUCUUACUUCCCAGGUAUUUCUUCAAAUUCUUGUCAACAAGUGACAAAGAACAUGUACUUUGAGUUGAGGCCCGACUGAAUAUAACUGUGCUAAUUCUCUAUAUGUUGUUACUGUUUCGUAUCAAGGGAAAAAGAUUGGUGGAAGUUUGGGGGCUGGUGUUUGCAAGUUUAGCUUAGGAUCGAAUGCAAGCCUGAAUACUUGUUGAUUCCAUUAGUAAUGUAGUUAAAUUUAAGCAUUGCAUCUGUUGGCUUUUGAAAUUUCCUUAUAACUCGUUUACUGUGGAAUGUUGUAGUUCAUUGUGACUUUGGCAAAGUUUUGGAUCUCUGGAGCCUAGGCUUUAAAGCCGGUAAUGAGAGAGGGGUAAUGCCUUUACUAUUUGGGCUUAGUUCGUGAGCCCAGUAGCUCAUUUGAUUAUUAAUGGACUCACCCUAUGGUAGGUUAGGCUUAAGAAGGCAUAAAAGAUAAAAUCAGAAGUUUAGUUAGUUGAUUUGUGCUAGAUUAGUUAAAUUCAGAAAUUUUAAAAAAAAUAAUUUAUUUUAUGUUCACAUAGCCUUUGCUGAUUGGCAGUCGAUCUCACUCAAUCCUUGGUUCAGAAACUUUGGGCUUAAAGUUGGCCCAAUAACAGGUAAAUGGUUGUUAAUUUCAUUAUCACAUUUGAUACUUGUAUUUCUUCUCAUCCUUUAGAGUUGGGUUCAUUGGAGCCCAAACUUGGAGGCAAUUUGAAUAAGUUUGAUUUUUGGUUGUUUUGUAAAACGAUUUGUUUUGAAUUAGCUUACCCUCUUAAUAUGGUAACUUUUAAGCCAUUUAAUAAGAUUGAAAUUUCUCCAAUAGGGUGAAAGCCUUUUCUUUUUUCAGUAGUCUUUUCAUUUUAUACUCUGGCCUCGGUUGGAACCUUUUGCGGGCAAGUGGUUGAUAUGCCUGAGGGGGCAAGCAAGACAUUUGUGGAAGUGGUGCGGGCCAUCGCGGGCCUCGGGGAUAUGGAGUAUAUGGUGGUGCAUUGUGGACGGGGUAUCGGGGAAGUGAUGUACGAUUUUGAGGGUUCUGUGGAGAGAAGUAGCAGUGGGGUCGAUUGCAAGGAUAUCCCCGGAGUCGACAUUGAGGCAGAAAGCAUUUAGCAAGAACGACCACUGGACCCUAUCGUCGGCGGGGCUCAGCAACAUAUUUUCUAUUAAUGGGAGGACUAUCCUGAGCGACUUGUUUGUUCCAUCUGAGCCAGAAAUUCCUAAAACUUUCCUUGGGUUUCUUUUCUAUCUGAGAUAGGGAGGAGCGGUCUAGGACAAUGUCUAUAUUGUACUGAAAGCGUCGCACAAAAUCUUGAACCACAUCGCCCAAUGUGUGCCACUUACCGACAUCUUGACGAUUACGCCAUUCCAAAGCUGCCCCAGUCAAGUUCUCACUGAAAUAUGCCAUCAACAAAUCAUCUUUCUCGCCAACACUUCUCAUUUCUCUACAAUAAUCCCUCAAAUGGGCUACCGGAUCUCCACACCCAUCAUACAAGUUAAACUUUGGCACUUUAAACCCUGCGGGCAGGCGAACGUCAGGGAAACAUACACAACUUUUUGUAAGACAUGUUAACCUGGUCUCUCAUCCCUUGCAUGUUCUUUAAGGAUUGUUCUAUGCUUUUCAGCUUCCUGGAUAUCUUGUCUCGCCCUUCUUUUCCCAUGACUUUUUCAUGUUCAGCAUGAAGCUCAUCCCGAGGGCUCUUCUUGUAUGAGUCAGGAACCAUGUGGGAAACCUUUGCAGGGUAGUAUUGGGCAUCAUGAGCUUUGAGUGGAUAUUCAUUGUUGUGAAUAGUAAAUAUGACAGGAGGAAAAUUUUGGGGAGAGGUAAUUGGAGGAUGAGUGAUGGAGCUACUAGGGUGGUUGGGAAAGCUGUGAUAAAUGGGUGGAUCUGGAGAGUAUGGAGGAUCAUCUGGCACUAUGACUGGAGUUUGGGUAAAGGUAGUAUCUAAGAAGCUAGGUGGUGGCGGGGGUGGUUCCUUCCCAGUGAUCCAGGCCUGAUACAUGUCCGUCAUGUGUUGUCUUAAUAUCUUUACCUCUUCAACCAACUCAUUGCCAUGUUCAACCAACUGCUUUUGGGCACCGGUAUCAACCAACCCAGUUUUGUUAUUGUCUGUCAUUGCCUUUUGCCUUUAUGUUGUGGAGAGGAGUUACUACUUCGAUAACCACAAACCAACCACCUUUCUACUAUGAAGAUAUCAAAAGGAACAAAAUGGGGUCAUCCCGUUAGCGUUAGGGCAUUUAACAGCAAAAAUAUCACAUUGCGUGCAAUGCACCUAACAACAAUUAAUGGUUCUAGAAUGACUUAGAGGGUGAUAAGGUCACCUGGCAUCAUCCCAAUUUGUCCAUUUGAAUCUUCUCUUUUCUUUCUGAUUAUCGCUCUUUUUCUUCCUUCUCAUUUCUCACAUCCCAUAAUUUCACCAUCUUUUUUCUUCUUCUUUUUUCCUUUUUUUUCUUUUUCUUUUCUUUUGGUAAAUAAAAAAUAAUAAUUCGAUCGAACCUUAUGUAGGUUGCCUACGUAUCAUUAUGCCACAUGAAUCAGAUCUUUGCGUAGUUCGGGAAGAACGGGAAUAAACAAUAAACUAACGUUUUCUUUUUCAUUUUCUUCUUUUCUUUUCCUUUCUACCUUAGUGACUACUCUGAUGAGAAAAGAGAAAUGAAAGAAGCAAAUCCCUUUUUUUUUUUUUGAAUUUUCUAGACUUAAUAUUCUAUGACCUAUUCUAAACUCAAGCUUAACGGGCAUGUUUUUUUUCUUUUUUUUUCCUUUUGAAACAAAUACUCUAUUAAGGAAAAAUCCUAGAAGAGAAAAAUAUUUUUUUUUAUUCUUUUUUUUGGGAAGAAAAUCUAAAGAAUAAACCACAGAAAAAUAUUUGAAUUUUCAUUUGAUAUCCUAACGCGGGAUUUCGAAACAAGCAAUAAACAAAAUAUUUUUGGAUUUCAAUUUUGAUUGCCUAAAGGAAAAACUAAUGAUAAACAAAAGACAAAGUAUGUUUUUUUUAUGUACAAUAUCCUAAAGUUCUAAUGAAAAUAAAAAGAAAUUAUAUUUUUUUAUUUUUCACUAAUUUCCCAAAGAAACGCCUCAAAAGAAAAUCUUUUGGAUUUUAAAAUUAAUACCUUAAAGAAAACUUUUAAAGAGGUACUAAAAGAAAAUUCUCUUUUUUUUUCUUUUGAAUUUUGGUCCCAAUAUAGUAAAGGAAAUAUAAAUAUAAUUUUUAUUUUGAUAUUAAUUACCUAAAGGAAAAACAAUCUCAAAGGAAUUUUUUUUUUCCAUUUCUAGAAUUAGUAUUCUAAAGAAAACUUAUAAAGAAAAUAUAAAAACGCAAAAUUUCUUUCUUUUUUUUGGAUUUUUGACUUGUAACACAUUUCCAAAUGCAAAAACAAAAGACUAGGUAGACUUAACUAGACAAUACAAACUCUAACAUCACCUAAAAGACUGAAUACUACUAUACAGAACUAGAAAAUAAAACAAAAACAAUUGACUCAAAAACAUAAAAUGGCUCGUCGAGCAGCUCCUGAAUGCAGUGAUCCUAGGGUAUCUGUCAUGCUCAAACUCCGGUAAGUAGCUCCACACCUGUAUGAGAAAACCUAAACCAACACUAUGUGAGAUAAUAACAUUCUCUAAGACACAUGCAAGACAUGAUUGGGGCUAUUUUUGCAAAAUGGCUUAUUUGGCCAAGAGGUGGAUAGCAGUGCAAAAUUUGGCUAAGACCCCGCAAAGCCAAGAAUCUAAGAUAUACUAAGAAGACUGGACCCUAUGUGGGUUGCCUACGUAUCACGCCCCCAAAGACGAGAAUCAGGUAUGCGUAGUUCGGGCAGAUUGGAUACGGGUGAGAAAUAAAAAUAACAACUAAUACAGAAAAAAUAUUUUUUUGUCUUUUGUUUUGAAAAAAAAAACGAUCGAAACGGAAGGGAGUAUAAGGGAGUUUUUUUAAACUUAAAGUGACAAUCGAAAUGAGAUCAUUUAUUUAUUAAAAAUUCAGAGUCGCCACUUGGGAUAUUUAGGGUGUCCCAAGUCACCGGUUUAAAUCCUGAAUCGAGGAAAAAUUGACUCUGUAUUACAGUCUGCAAACACAGAAAUCUGGGUAAGGAAUUCUGUUAACCCGGGAGAAGGUGUUAGGCAUUCCUGAGUUCCGUGGUUCUAGCACAGUCGCUCAACUAUUAUUAUUGGCCUAUUAUUCGAUUUAUUACAUGUUUUAGCCUAUGGUGCAUUUUUAGCUUAUUAACCGCUUUUAAUUAAUUUUAGGAAGAUUCAACGUUAUUUAAAAUACGCCUUGAACCAUGCCACAUGAAAUGCACCCGCGGUCCACGACACAUUUUAUUUAACGUUGUUGAGAAUUGAAAUUGGGUCACAUGAAAUGCACACCCGAAUUUCGGAAUUAGGCAUCGCAACUAUGUCACGGGAACCGUACCCAUAGUCACAAUGGUUUAUUAAUCUCGCCUAAAAUAAGCUACGAUAUUGAAUAGUUAAUUUCUAAUUUCUAAAUUCGAUGCUGAAUGUGAUAUGCUCAGAGACUAACAAUAAUAGUUGCAAUUUGAUUAACAGGGCAAAUAAGACAGAAAUUUCCAACAUACAAAUCCUUAGUUUUCCAACGUUAUGCUAUAAAAACAAGCCAUUACUGGAAGGCCAUAACAACAAGUUAUUUUUCCUUUCUAAUUCCAAUUCUAUUCCUAUGGAUUAUUAUUAUUGUUGAAAGCCAAUUUUUCUUUAAGCAGAAAUUCCAGCAAACUUUAUACGUAAAAUUUCAACGAUCCUUCUGACACCAGAUAUAUACAAGAUGGCAUAUAAUUCUAACCCUUCUUAAAAAUUAGGUUAUGAAAAUAAUACAGUGAACUCUUCUGAAAUUCUUAAAAGAGCAAAACUAGACCGUAGACAACUUAAACCUUUGGAGAACAAUUGUAUAACCUAUGAAUUUCUGGAGACUAAUUUUGAGAACGUAGCUAAAUUCAUAGUCGCACAGUGCCAAGCAUGGGAAUCAACAUGGAAACAAGGCUGCUGCAACUUCCCGAAUAUAACCCAAUAAUAUGCUAAAUACAUAACCAUCAAAGCCAUAAUAUAAUAAAUCAAGCACGAGAAUGACAGAGAUAAGAGAAGCAGAUCUGAAAUUCACAGAGCAAAUAAAGUUUAAAAUUGGGCCUUUCAUCGAUUCAAAAUUGCAACUUAGAAUACGAACCGGAAAUGACCGCAAUGGAACAGAAACUCGACGACCUCGAAGCUCGCCGAAAAUUGAUGAACCUCGGAUAGAAACUAAUGGUGACGGGAAAACCGAACACAGAUUCGUCGACUCAAACCUCACCAGUGAUCUCCGUGCAACCGGACACAACAUAGUUUCGAACUCAAGUGAGCUCCAUACAUUUGAAACCAAAAGUCGAAAUCAAAAUCAAAGAGAAAGAAGCAGAAAAUUUUCUGUAGAAGACAGAUUUUAGGGGGUGGGGGUCCGAAAUUUUUGUGUUCUUCAGCAGAUUACUUCAAGCUUUUUAGGCUUUCUUCAUUUUGUUCAAGGAGAAACAGAAUGUUUAGGGUGAGGUGAGGAAAACAAGUUCAGAGGGGUGAGGUUCUUGGAUCUUGAGAAUUGCAUCUGAGUUUGUGAUGGGAAACGGUGGAUCUAUGGGGGUUUUAGGCGUUAGUCUAUUGCUUUUGGUGUUUUUUGCAUUUUUUGGCUUUUUGUUCUUUUUUUUUUUGAGAGAACGGCGGAUAAG
rnacentral:lncRNA from 1 species